ensembl:lncRNA
GCCACUUUUUAAUGAAUCUGAUGGUUUAGGUUAUGUUGGUUCAUGUUGGGAUGUACUAACUUGAACAUGAUACUGAAAAGUUCAUAAUUUUGUCUCAACCCCAACUGAGUUGUUCAAGUGUUUGGGAUUGACUUUUAAGGCUAGCCUUUAAACUGGUAUGCCACUAUGACUGAGGAAAUGCUAAUGGUGUCUUGAACAGGGGUGCAGUGGAUUACGCUAGAAGAGUGGAUAACCUUUCCUACAGGCCUCCAAGCAUUGAGCACUGUGUUUUGUCAGAUUUGGACAUUGAAAUGUUUAGACUUCGCAUUCAUAUUUUUGUGUUUAAAUAUUCCCACUACACCAUUGGUCUCACACAGUUCUCACUGAAUUAACUUCUGCCCUGUAGAUUAGGCCUGUAGAAUUAACCUAUAAUAUCUUUAAUGUUACGGUACGUGUUAUCAUGCAUAAUAAACCGUGUUCGAUUUCAGCAGUGGCCUUCCUAACUCUGCGGUGCGCCGCUGUUGAAUGCAUAUAGGGAACAUACUGGACACUGAAGUACUGAAUCUCAUGACUUUUCCAGGAUGUCCAUGACCGUGGGAACCCUGUUGAUCCACAGUGAUUCUGGACCGUACAUGCUACUGUGUCUGUGACAGCACGGGCUUUUCUGGUGAGCAGAGGAUCAAGGGCAGACGAAGAGAGGGGAGAGGCAGAAGGAAAGACGUAUAAUAACUUAGUACGAAGGAAAGGAGUCUAAUAACUUGGUACGAAGGAAAGGAGUCGAAUAACUUGGUACGAAGGAAAGGAGUCUAAUAACUUGGUACGAAGGAAAGGAGUCUAAUAACUUGGUACGAAGGAAAGGAGUCUAAUAACUUGGUACGAAGGAAAGGAGUCGAAUAACUUGGUAAGCAAGGUAAAUAUGUUUAUAAGUGAUUUUACAUGAAAUUGUGAGGCAUUUCAUACAAUUCCACAUUAACAAAACUUGCAUUACAGAUCAUUACAGAUACAUUGCUGAAAUUUCCAUUUUGAGUUAAGGCCAAAUAUGGAGAGAAGGAAACGAACAAUAAAUAAGAAAUGAAGAAUCAAGAAUUAUAACUCAGUAUUUGUGAGAAUGUGAAA